AGGUUAAACAGUCAGUGUUUGUUCCCUGUCUUUCUUUCUCCCAGGGUUUGGAGAGGCAGCUGACUGAGCAGAAGCUGGAGAUAGAUGGUCUGAGGGGGGAGAUCUCUAGUGUGUCUGAGAAGGCCGAACAGGAGAAAGAGGGCCUGAAGAAGGCCACCCGUGCCCAGAAACAGAGGGCCGAGAGGUUUGAAGCUGCUGUGGAUAAAUGUUACACUCAGCUGAGGGAGAAGAAAACCAUCACUGGCCCAGGGAGGUAUGACAUCCAGGACUUCACUGAGAACCGGGAGAAGAAGCCAUGCACUGUGAGACGUGACAUCACAGUUUAAAGACUUCAUGAAGAAGCAGACUACUCCAGGCCCAGGGGCUUAUGGGAAUGGGGGCAUCCCGUCUCGGCUGCUGGAUGAGAGGAGGAGGCAGCCGAUUGGCUCCUGUCUACGAUGGACUGGACUGCUUCCUGGAGCUCAUAGUGAUCAGAUUCUGAUUUGUGCCCUGGUACCUAGAACCUUCACUGAGGUGCUACUCAGAUGAAGGUGCUCCCUGUCAGUAAGCAAGGACCCUACGAUCUCUUCACUGGCUGACGAGAAAAGCCAAUCAAUCACCUUC